AACAAUGUCCAGGCAGGGGCCGGGGAAGCUCGUGCCAAGGCACUGAGGGGAAGUGCUGCAAUGAACCUCAGAGGCUCUUGCUGACUCAUCUGGGGUACCAAGGACAGAUAAAGGACAUGGAGUCCAGGCCCAGGAGGGGACACCAGGCCAGCAGUUUCACUGAUGCUCCUGUCAUGACGAUGACUGCCUCCCUCCUCCCCUUGGUCCCUGACUCAGUGUCUGCAGUGACCAGGCACCAGGCAGGGAGCAAGGAACCAAGGCUUUCACCUGCUCCCACCAACUCCUAUGGUGCUCCCUUUCCAAGGCUAGGUCUCCUCUCCACCCGGUUCUUUAUCACAUACCAUGAGAAGCUGUCACCUUGGCAACUGUCACCUUCUGGUGAGAUUUACAAUUGCACUGCUACAACUGCUUGUGGCAUGGUAAAGUUGCACCAGGACCUCUGCUGUCCAUGAGAUCAAAGUUCCAGGCCAAGGUGAGCACCCGCCUCCAUCC
rnacentral:sRNA from 1 species